AGGCCUGCAGCCUGCAGUGAAAACACGGGCGACCACAACUUGUGUGCAGUAUCUCGCUGGCUGUGCCGGGUGCAAACGCCCUUGACUCAUUAUAUCUUUAUCUCAGUGGAACCACAAUAUUGGCCUUACGACGUCGUCACGUGUUCUCGCAGACCACACACAACUCGCCGCAGUCCUCCCGUUUUACGAAUAAUACUAGCGUUUUUUUUUUGUAACUGACAAAAAGUUAUCACCAUUUAGUAAACAUUUUUUUUCUACGCGCUAAAUUGGCGUGGUAAUCUGUGCCGCGUUGUUCGAACAGACAAUUUAAAGACGUAAACUUUCAAUACCCCGACCAGAUGUCCUACGGCCGGAUUCUACUCAGCGCUUUCCUUCUCGUGCUGGGGCAUUUUCCAUAGCGACUGGUUUACCAAAUCCACUGAGAGAAAAAAUGAUCAUAAUACUCCAAAAUGCUGAUUGAAACACUCUGGGGUCUGGAGUAAUGUCCAUGGAAAUCGGAAGCAAUAUUUUGAUGCUGCCGUGAAGGAAAAUGAUCUGAAAUUCAUUUUCUAUCCAGUGCUGUGACCAAACAACGUUUGAAGUACUUGAAUAAAGAUUUUAAGUAAUGUAUGAUAAAUGUUUUAUAAACAUUAAAUAUUGUAGUAAUUUUUUUUUUACAAAAUCUUAUUUUUGUAUUUACAAUAACCGACUACUAUGUAGAUAAAAAUUCAAUUUUUUUUUUAAUAUUCUAGAUAUUCAAUGAGAAGUGUAGGCACAAGUCAUAUGGGAGACACCUAACGGUUGUUUGGAGCAGACCCCGAUUAAAAGCUUCGUCAGCCUCAAGCUCUACCCUAAUAGAGGCUCAUCUGCAGUUAAUGUAAAAACUCAAAAUCUAGUUCGAAAAUAUAACAUUAACAAAGCGCA